rnacentral:rRNA from 1 species
GACGAACGCUGGCGGCGUGCUUAACACAUGCAAGUCGAGCGAUGAAACUCCUUCGGGAGUGGAUUAGCGGCGGACGGGUGAGUAACACGUGGGUAACCUGCCUCAUAGAGGGGAAUAGCCUUUCGAAAGGAAGAUUAAUACCGCAUAAGAUUGUAGCUUCGCAUGAAGUAGCAAUUAAAGGAGUAAUCCGCUAUGAGAUGGACCCGCGUCGCAUUAGCUAGUUGGUGAGGUAACGGCUCACCAAGGCGACGAUGCGUAGCCGACCUGAGAGGGUGAUCGGCCACAUUGGGACUGAGACACGGCCCAGACUCCCACGGGAGGCAGCAGUGGGGAAUAUUGCACAAUGGGGGAAACCCUGAUGCAGCAACGCCGCGUGAGUGAUGACGGUCUUCGGAUUGUAAAGCUCUGUCUUCAGGGACGAUAAUGACGGUACCUGAGGAGGAAGCCACGGCUAACUACGUGCCAGCAGCCGCGGUAA